GACGAACGCUGGCGGCGUGCUUAACACAUGCAAGUCGAACGAUGAAGAAAAGAAUUGAAGCUUCGGCAGAAAUUCAUUUCGGAUUAGUGGCAGACGGGUGAGUAACGCGUGAGCAACCUACCUCUUACAAAGGGAUAGCCUCGGGAAACCGGGAUUAAUACCAUAUAACAUUGCGACGAAGCAUUUCGAUGCAAUCAAAGCUACGGCGGUAAGAGAUGGGCUCGCGUCCCAUUAACCAGAUGGUGAGGUAACGGCUCACCAUAGUAACGAUGGGUAACCGGCCUGAGAGGGUGAACGGUCACACUGGAACUGAGACACGGUCCAGACUCCUACGGGAGGCAGCAGUGGGGAAUAUUGCACAAUGGAGGGAACUCUGAUGCAGCGACGCCGCGUGAGUGAUGAAGGAAUUCGUUUCGUAAAACUCUGUUCUAUGGGAGGAAAAGGACUGUACCAUAGGAGAAAGCUCCGGCUAAAUACGUG
rnacentral:rRNA from 1 species